UUCUGGAAGAUUAUUUCUCUUCUUUCAGAUUUACCUCACACAAACUAAACAAAUAUGCAGGCACUGCCAAGACAACAUAAUUUUCUCCUAAAUUUGCUGCAUUACUUCCAAGUUCGUACUUAUCAAUGAUGUUAUAAAUUCUCUCUCUCUCUCUCUCUCUCUCUCUCUCUCUCUCUCUCUCUCUCUCUCUCUCUCUCUCUCUCUCUCUCUCUCUCUCUCUCUCUCUCUCUCUCUCUCUCUCUGUAAAGAGAAGAAAAAAUAAAAUGAAAAAAAAAGACCUGCCACCCAGCAGCCAAGCUAUGGGUCCACGGGUCCACUGCUCCGCGGGUCCUCCCGGCGGUACGAGCAGCUUCCUCUGUCACCACGGGGCUUCACUUAAUCUCACUUAAUCUAAUCUCGCCGUCGGUGCCGCAACACAGGAGUCAUAAAGGUCGAGUAUGGAGCAGACAAUAAGAGCUGCCGCGACUUCUCGAGAAAUUACGCUCUCCACUCCGCCGACACGAGAAACUGUUGAUGAGAGUCGGCAGCGUGAGGGAAUAAGUGAGGAGAUUGGGGAAGCGAUGGGUGGCGGUGAAGCACGACCAAUCCACGCCGCUAUUCCUCUCCGCCCGGAGGAACUGAGAGCUGCUGAGCUAUCACCGCACCGUGAAAACUCCCACGUGCUUCCUCACCGCCACCCCGACUGCCGCCCCGUGACCUGCAGAUGUGUACCGUGCCGGCUUUGAUCAGUGGCGGGUGGCGGUAGGCGCCGGACCGCCGCCACCAGCUCGAUCACAACUUUAUCUUCAACAGUGGCUUGAGUUAAGGUUGCUUUGUAACUAAGAGCAAUAAAAUAUAAACGAUUAAGUACAUAAAGUAAUCAGUUGGAGGAAAAUAGUGCAAGAA